UGGGGCUGGUAGUGACAGGGGUAGGUUGUUACAGUGGCAACGGUGGCGAAACAGAGAACGCUAUACUGACGUCAGAAAGAGACAAAUACUCCCGCCGCGACCGGCUACUACACCGCAAGAGCCAGUGGCGCUAACGUGUUUAUGUGAGGAGCACGCGCGUGCUGCCAUUAAAAUCGCAGGAUGAGGACGUAUAAAAGAAAAUCUGAGCGUGGCAACAUAUCUAAAGAUGUAUACGAACAAGCAGCAGUUAUUUUAGAGGAGGAUAAAACUAAAAAAGUUCGCGGCGUUGCAAAGACUUUGGAUUGUGCCAUAUGUCACUAACAAGAUUUUAAAGAAAGAAAAGAAGCAAAAGAAAAAGGUACACCUUUGGAAUCUGUCACAAUGGGGUAUAAGAAAAAUAGACAAGUUUUCAACGAUAAACAAGAGGCCGUUUUGGUGAGUUAUUUAAUUAAAUGCAGCCAGAUUUACUACGGAUUGACGCCAAAGGAUGUCAGGCAACUGGCAUUUGAAUGUGCACUUAAGCACAACUUUGUAACGCCUCAAUCGUGGCUUGAUAAUAAGGAAGCAGGAGUUGAUUGGCUGACAGCAUUUCUUAAACGUAAUCCGUCGUUAUCCAUAAGAUCACCAGAGGCUACUAGCUUGAGCAGAGCCACAUCAUUUAACAAAACGAAUAUUGAUAAUUUCUUUUCUAAACUGGCCGAUGUGUUGGACAGAUACAAAUUUCCUUCGUCACGAAUAUGGAAUGUUGACGAGACAGGUGUGACGACUGUACUGAAACCCAGAAAAAUUUUGGCUCCAAAAGGGUCUAAACAAGUUGCUUCCAUUACAUCGGCAGAGCGAGGAACACUCGUGACUGUCUGCGUAGCAGUUAAUGCAGUUGGCAACUCGGUGCCAUGUAUGUUCGUCUUCCCACGAAUUAAAUAUAGGGACUAUUUUGUUCGCGAUGGACCUCCAGGUUGUAUUGGCGCAGGAAACUCAAGCGGCUGGAUGACAGGGCUGGAAUUCCGAGUUUUUAUGAAACAUUUCAUAGGUAAUGUGAAACCUUCCGCAACCGACCCUGUGCUCUUAUUAUUGGACAACCACACUUCACACUUGGACAUUGAGGUUGUCGAAACAGCUAAAGAAAACAAUGUGGUGUUGCUGUCCUUCCCACCACAUUGUUCACAUAAGCUCCAACCUCUGGACGUGGGAGUCUACGGACCGUUCAAAAUUACUGUGCCAGUCAACAAGAUGCUUGGCUGAGAAACAAUCCUGGCAAGACAAUGUCUAUUCACGAUAUUCCAUCGAUAGUGAAUAAAGCUUUACCAUCGGCAUUGAAUCCAGCGAACAUUAUCAAUGGAUUUAAAAGACUGGUAUUGCGCCAUUUAAUAAAGAUGUUUUUCAGGAUGAUGACUUCUUGUCUGCUUUUGUGACGGAUAGACCAAUCCUCGGACAUUCCGAUGAUACACCAAUAGACGAAAUGACUAACUCAAACAUCGAAAAUAUCCCUCAUACCACAACACUGAACACAGAGGUUGAAAUUUCACCUCCACCCCCUCCCCAGUCUCCUACAGAAAGUGCCAUGGCAGAACGCGAAUACUCCAUUUAUACUAACCCAGUUGCUGGUUGUAGCAAGGAUAUAAUGCCCAAUGAAAAUGCCUUUUCUCCCGAGAUUGUUCGGCCUUAUCCAAAAGCCGCUGCGAGAACAAACAAAAUAAAACGAAAACUCGGAAAUCAGCUGUUUUAACAGACACUCCCGAAAAAACUGCGUUGGCGCUGGAACAGAGUAAGAAGAAGGAAAAUAAACCUAAAAGUGGAAAGUCUACCAAAGGGCAAAAAACAGGAAAGAAAAAUGACCAAGGAAAUACCAGUAAAGGAAAGAAAAUAAAGGGAACAGGAAAGCUUUCUGUACAGAGAAAGGUAUUACACGAAAGUGAUGAAGAAAGCGAAGAAGACGGUUAUUUUUGUCUGAUUUGUUGUGAUCCUUUUGAUCCAAAAAAAUCUGGUGAGGAAUGGGUAGAAUGUGUUGUUUGUAAGAAUUGGUCACAUGUGAAAUGUGUUAGGGGUAAUAUUGUACAUUAUGUAUGUUUGAAUUGUGAAAGUGACUGUUCAGACUACAGUGACUGAACUCUGAUCUGUUAAGUUUUUCUUUAAGAAUCUGAUUUUUUUAAGAAAGGUUAAUUUUGGUAUUUUUAUUAAUGAGUCAUAAUACUAUUCGUUUUGUUUAUUUAUACUUAUGUUUUGUUAAAUACAGAAGUUUAUAAGUUUAUAGGUCAGAAAUUAUUCAUAAAUAUUAUUUUCACGAGGUGUAAAACCAAAAAAAAAAUUGAUUUAAAUUUUAGAAUAUAACAUGUUUUUGUGUCCACGAGGAAUAAGACUGCUUUAAGCAUUAUUACUAUUGUCAUUUAAAUUAAGUAAGAACUUAAUUGUGAUAAUUAUUUCUAAUAAAAACUCUUGUAAUA